GUAGUGUUGGGUUUCAUGAGAGACGUACUGUGUCCGGAGAAAGGAGCGAUGAGCAGCAUGCUGCUGAGAGUAUUUCUAAGUUUUAUCUACAAGGUCGACUACUCGUGGUCCUGAUAAUAACUUGAUUGUAACUCGUAAAAAGGGGACGGACUCUGCUGUUUUCUUCCUGUGAUUCCUGUGAUGCUGUGUACUAAGUGCUGAACGGUGACUGCUAUCCCCAUUAACAAUUCGUCUGGGAAUCUGAAGACCAAGAGCUUUAACUUCUGCUUCAACACACACCAUGAUCUCUACAUCCCUCCUGCUGCUGCUGGCAGCUGUACACUGUGUUCACUGUGUUGAGCUGAUCCAGACUGGAUCCACAGUAUUAACCCCUGGUCAGUCACUGACUCUGACCUGUAAAGUGUCUGGAUAUUCAUUAACUGAUAGAAGCUACUGUACAGGCUGGAUCCGACAACCUGCAGGAAAAACUCUGGAGUGGAUCGGACAGAUUUGUGGGAGCGGUAGCACUUACUACAGUGAGAAACUGAAAAGCAGGUUUCAGGUUUCCAGAGACACGUCCAGCAGCACAGUAACAUUAACAGGACAGAACAUGCAGACUGAAGACACAGCUGUGUAUUACUGCGCUCGUCAACCACAGUGAGACAAAUCAACAACAUCCCUGUACAAAAACACCUCAUCCAGUGUACAGUAUAACCGAAUGUCCACAAGAAACAAAACUUAUCAAUCCUGUUUUACUGAUCCUUAAAUAUUUGAUUGAAAAUUAUAGUAUUUGAUAAAGAGGCUUCUGUUCCGUUAAAAGCCACACAUUCUCCAUCAGAUGAAUCUCCUGCCCAUGUUUUCAAUAAAUUUCACUGCAAUGAA